GAUGAACGCUGGCGGCGUGCCUAAUACAUGCCAGUCGAGCGAACGGACGAGAAGCUUGCUUCUCUGAUGUUAGCGGCGGACGGGUGAGUAACACGUGGAUAACCUACCUAUAAGACUGGGAUAACUUCGGGAAACCGGAGCUAAUACCGGAUAAAAUUUUGAACCGCAUGGUUCAAAAGUGAAAGACGGUCUUGCUGUCACUUAUAGAUGGAUCCGCGCUGCAUUAGCUAGUUGGUAAGGUAACGGCUUACCAAGGCAACGAUGCAUAGCCGACCUGAGAGGGUGAUCGGCCACACUGGAACUGAGACACGGUCCAGACUCCUACGGGAGGCAGCAGUAGGGAAUCUUCCGCAAUGGGCGAAAGCCUGACGGAGCAACGCCGCGUGAGUGAUGAAGGUCUUCGGAUCGUAAAACUCUGUUAUUAGGGAAGAACAUAUGUGUAAGUAACUGUGCACAUCUUGACGGUACCUAAUCAGAAAGCCACGGCUAACUACGUG
rnacentral:rRNA from 1 species